rnacentral:tRNA from 1 species
GCCUCUGUAGCUCAGUGGUCCUCAGUUGCUUAGAGCGCUGCACUGGAAUCGCAGGGCCACAGGUUCAAUUCCUGCCAGGGACC